UACGAAGGUGGCAAGCGUUGUUCGGAUUUACUGGGCGUACAGGGAGCGUAGGCGGUUUGGUAAGCCCUCCGUAAAAUCUUCGGGCUCAACCCGGAAAGUUCAGAGGGGACUGCCAGGCUAGAGGACGGGAGAGGAGCGCGGAAUUCCCGGUGUAGCGGUGAAAUGCGUAGAGAUCGGGAGGAAGGCCGGUGGCGAAGGCGGCGCUCUGGAACGUUUCUGACGCUGAGGCUCGAAAGCGUGGGGAGCAAACAGG
rnacentral:rRNA from 1 species